CAUUUUGUAGUAAACCGCGAUAUAUUAACAAAUCUCCUUUCCCCUACGCGACACAUUAUUUUCUCGCGAGUCUUUCUAAUUUGCCACGCAUGCAAAUUUCACCUGCCGGACUCGUUACCGUCCCCAAAAUUGCCAUCUGGCGGAGCUCCCCCGCCUAUAUAUAAAUAAAUGAAGAAGGCGGGAGGAAAACGUAAGAGGCAUGCUUUCGAGUUUGGAGUGAGAAUUUCGCCGUCCCGGAAAGAAAGAGAGGGAUGUCGAUUAAUCUUUGGAGCAUUUUUUCCUUUGGCCUCGUCGGCGCCGGGACAACCAAUUCCUCCGCCGGGUGGUUUGCGCUAUUCGUAUGUUUGGAAGCUUUGGAGCAUUCUUUUUUCCUCUGGACUAAUCGGCGCCACACGGCCGCAGCCUCCCUUAAUGCCUUGAGUUAGCGGUUUUCGUUUACCGUUGUUCAAGAAUGCGCUUCACUUGCACAUAUACUCAAAGAAAUCUGACUCGAGAUCUUUUCCGCGGUUCGCAAUGGUGUCGUAUGGACUUCUUUUUCCGUUUGAAAUGAUCUAUGGAAGUCUGCUUGCCCGAGUUAAGGCUGAAUUACAUCUCCUAUGAUUCAAUAUGCAACAUAGGUGUAUAUAAGACAUGCAGAAUGUUCUCCUUUAAAAGAGGAACAAAAUAUGUUAAUUAUCACGGAGCAAUUGGUAGAUUGAUUAUACAGGGCCUCCAAGUGAGAGUAUGUGGCAUUGUCUGUGUCGCUACUCAGUUUCCAGGUCUAGACAGGUCAGCAUGUUCUUUGAUAUCCCUUUUUAAUUCGGUAUUGUAUCCAUUAUCUUUGUACAUUAUGAUUAAACUAUACCUAAUAAAGGCCUUUCUAUAAUAUAAACAAGUAAAAUCUAAAUAUUUUCUUACGUUGUCUAUGGAUGUGUAGUUUUUGUUCCUUGUUCCAAAAACAAUGUUAGAUGACGAAUUGGACAUUUUUUGAGGCAAAUAAAAAAAAAAAACAAUGAAAACAGAGGAUCAAAUUAAGGUUCUCAUUAUGUCGUUGGGUCAUCUAUUGUACAUAAUGUCAUUGAAUCAGCAACAUAAAAUAUGGUAUUUUUGUCCCAAAUUAAAGUUUUAGCUUUGUAUGUCAUUUCUUAAUCAGCAAAUAUUUCUAAAAUAGGCCCAGAACUUCCCCUGCAUUUUUUCCCCUAUACGAUUAGUUCUUUUGAAAUCUUUAAGCAAUACUGUACUUCUUCCAUGGGAACUAGGUAUUACAAACUCAUAAAAUUUGAUCUUCUUAUUAUAAAUUUUUCCUUAUUUUACGGACUUAAGUUUUGAUAUGACAAGCGAAGAAAGCUCGUUGCAUGGGUGUGUUUUGAGACUGUCCUUCACACUGAGUGCAUACUGAUAUUCCACGACUGCCCAUCAGAUCAUAAUUAUGAACCGAGUUCAUAGGAACAGGAUAUUUAAAUGCAUAAACCCUUUAAUGUUGCAGACAGCAUUUUGAGCGGGAUAAAAGAAGUAUCAUCUAUCAUCUAUGUCAAAACAAGAAAAUGAAGGUGUAAUGGGGAACCUUUGCUAUUGACUCUUGAAGAAGGCAG